rnacentral:rRNA from 6 species
CUUGGUGAUUGGAGCGGUCUGGAAACACCUCUUCCCAUUCCGAACAGAGCCGUGAAACGGGCCAGCGCCGACGAUACUGCCUUUGUGGGACAAUAGGUCAUCGCCAAGG